UACGGGGGGGGCAAGCGUUGUUCGGAAUUACUGGGCGUAAAGGGCGCGUAGGCGGCCUGCUAAGUCAGACGUGAAAUCCCUCGGCUUAACCGGGGAACUGCGUCUGAUACUGGAUGGCUUGAGUUCGGGAGAGGGAUGCGGAAUUCCAGGUGUAGCGGUGAAAUGCGUAGAUAUCUGGAGGAACACCGGUGGCGAAGGCGGCAUCCUGGACCGACACUGACGCUGAGGAGCGAAAGCCAGGGGAGCAAACGGG
rnacentral:rRNA from 1 species